GAUCCUGGCUCAGGACGAACGCUGGCGGCGUGCUUAACACAUGCAAGUCGAACGAGGUGUAGCAAUACACCUAGUGGCGGACGGGUGAGUAACACGUGAGCAACCUGCCCUAUACAACGGGAUAACACAGAGAAAUUUGUGCUAAUACGGUAUAAGACCACAGCGAGGCAUCUCGCAGGGGUAAAAGCUGAGGCGGUAUAGGAUGGGCUCGCGUCCCAUUAGCUAGUUGGUAAGGUAACGG
rnacentral:rRNA from 1 species